GAUGAACGCUGGCGGCGUGCCUAAUACAUGCAAGUCGAGCGAACGGACGAGAAGCUUGCUUCUCUGAUGUUAGCGGCGGACGGGUGAGUAACACGUGGAUAACCUACCUAUAAGACUGGGAUAACUUCGGGAAACCGGAGCUAAUACCGGAUAAUAUUUUGAACCGCAUGGUUCAAAAGUGAAAGACGGUCUUGCUGUCACUUAUAGAUGGAUCCGCGCUGCAUUAGCUAGUUGGUAAGGUAACGGCUUACCAAGGCAACGACGCAUAGCCGACCUGAGAGGGUGAUCGGCCAGACGGGAACUGAGGCACGGUCCAGACUCCUACGGGGGGCAGCAGUAGGGAAUCUUCCGCAAUGGGCGAGAGCCUGACGGAGCAACGCCGCGGGAGUGAUGAAGGUCUUCGGAUCGUAAAACUCUGUUAGUAGGGAAGAACAUAUGUGUAAGUAACUGUGCACAUCUUGACGGUACCUAAUCAGAAAGCCACGGCUAACUACGUG
rnacentral:rRNA from 1 species